GCCGGAAUAGCUCAGCUGGUAGAGCAGGGCUUUCGUAAAGCCAAGGUCGUAGGUUCGAUUCCUAUUUCCGGCACCA
rnacentral:tRNA from 1 species